rnacentral:rRNA from 1 species
UACGUAGGCAGCAAGCGUUGUUCGGAGUUACUGGGCGUAAAGGGUGCGUAGGCGGCUAUUUAAGUUUGGUGUGAAAUCUCCCGGCUCAACCGGGAGGGUGCGCCGAAUACUGAGUGGCUAGAGUACGGGAGAGGAAAGUGGAAUUCCUGGUGUAGCGGUGAAAUGCGUAGAUAUCGGGAGGAACACCAGUGGCGAAGGCGAGUCUCUGGGAUGAUACUGACGCUGAGGCGCGAAAGCUAGGGGAGCAAACGGG